AUGAUAAGGUUGAAGUACAGCCUUUUUGUAGAAGUGAACCUUCUGCAGUAAACCAUCAAAUUGCGGGAACGUCCUAAAGCAAUCAUAACCAAGUAAGAGUAGUAAUACAUCUUAUGGCUCAGGUAAUGACUUGGGGUAAGGUAAAAUCAUGAUUGAUAUAACAAUGGAUUAUCCGCAGCCAAGCACCUAAUAGGUGUGCAGUUCAUCGACUAAAUGUUGGUUGGCGCAAGCUUAAGAGAUAGUCAGGCCUCAUUCGAAAGAAUGCA
rnacentral:ncRNA from 1 species